CCUUUGGCGUCUAUACCAUUGCGCAAGCUGACUCUGCAGGAGACGUAAUCAAAGCUGCCAUUGCUCAAGUGAGAGGGUGUGGCUGAGGGACAUAUAUCAGAAGCUGACAUCAGCAGAGCAAAGAACCAGGUAAAAUCAGAGUACCUGAUGUCAAUAGAGAGCUCCGAGGGACUGAUGGAGGAGAUUGGUGCUCAGGCUCUGACCACUGCGGCAUACCAGCUCCCUGACGCUGUUCUCCAGGCUAUAGAUGCUGUCACCCAGGAUGAUGUG